GUUUGAACUCACGGUUCAUCGCGUAUUUGUGUGAGAAUCCGUUCCGUUGAUUCAGAACGAAGCGGGAUCAAGUGAACGUUAAACGGCGCAUCCUGAGGGAGAAACUCGUCACGACGGCGGCGGCAGCGUUAAAUACUCAGGAGUAGAAGGUCAGCACGCUCUGAUGGUUUCCUCGUAUCAGGACGGUCGGCGGUAGAUUUUUGGCUGGCCGGCGAUGAAGAUCCUGAGUUUGCAGUCCUUCCAUUUCUUCCGUGUGGUCAGAAUAUAAGGCAGGAGAAGCGUGAGACCUGCAGAACAACAAGAAGAGACAUCACCAUCACACUUCAGACCUGAAGGAAGGGAAG